AUGUAAUCGAGAGUAGAAUGAGCUAUAUAAACUGUGCUUGUUACCAAUAAAGUUGAAGCUUGUUUAUCACCCGUAUUGGGUUGUCUCUUGCUUGCCUCGUCCGACCUACCCCAACAGAAAGGCCCAAGACUAAGCCUGUAGAUUCUGAGGUGUAACAUUGAGAAGGAGAUUUCCUGCAUGGUGUAGUCCAUAGCUGACUGGAUGAAACACUGGGUAAUGUACUACUAGGACACAGUAGCGUGAGAUGGCCCAGCUCAUAAGCUAUAUGUUUUAAACCACUGAGACUGAAUUUACUGGRUCUGAACAGCUUCUUUCUCACACCAAGGGGAAAAUGUCAAGGUUUCUGUCAAGGGGAAAGAAGAUGUAUGGCUUUCCAUGAAGUGAUGAGUCCCUCCAGGGUUCAGAGUUUUGUGAGCUCAGUUGGGACUGGCCUUGCUAUGAAGAAUGGGGGAGUGCUGCCUGGUCCCAGGGGAGCAGGAGCAGUUGUG
rnacentral:lncRNA from 1 species